rnacentral:lncRNA from 1 species
GGCGGCUGAGGAACUGCAGAGUUGAGAGGUAGCCGUAGGUCUGCAGCACCAGAUUCCUGCGACACUGCAGCAGCCAGGGAGAAGAGAAGAAACAACAGAGAGCCCUGCCUCCCCUGGCUUCAGGGUGACACCAGGACUCUGUGGAAUGACUUUUUUUUAGUUUAGUACAAACUCAGGACUGCCCCUGGGUGAAAAAUACCUUUCUUCUCAGAUUAACCCAAGCUGUAACCACCCCACAACGUGAAGAGUGCUGUCUCCUUAGCUGUGGCUGAAGAGCUCCUCGUGGAUGCAGGGAGCUGAUCUAUUCCAAAAGGUUCACCUGACUGAAGGUACUUUUGUCGCCGUGGGAACUGACUGUCUAGACCUACACACUAACAUCCCAGCCUGACCAAAAAAGUGUGCAUAUGCGUGCGCAUGCAUGUGCGUGCAUGCGUGCGUGGGUGCGUGCGGUAUUGCUGGCGGCUCCCCUGAGAUGUGGAGGGCUGACUCCUACACCCAGUAGCCAUCACUAUGGGUAAAUCAGCCAAAUUGCAACCCUCUGGGCGCAACGGAAAAGGUUUCCGACCUGCGUCCCUCCUGCCUACCCCCCACCCCCUCCCCAAGUCUCCACCUAGGUCUUUGCAUCUGCUGAUCCACCCGCAAGCUUGCAGGAAUAUAGGGGACACACCGGCUCUCUAGAACUGAAACCGAGUUGGCAAGAUCAAAGCGGAGGAGCUGAGGUGACAACCUUUGAGUUUGGCUUGUUUCCUAGAUCGCCUAUGACCUCCAACCUUCAGCCCCACAACGAGAAGAGAAGCAGAAAGUGAAACUACUGUUGCUCUAGCAGAGAACAGCAGCCGCAGAAGAACUGUGCAGAUGAAAGCCGAGCUUGCCCGCUCGUUCUUCCUGUCUCGUUAUUGCUCAUAUAUAGCUUUUAAGGAAAUAAAAGUAAUUUUGGUGACACGGGUAAGACAUUUAAAUGUGGUAAAACAACUAAGAUUUGGGAUUUUGUUGGAUCUGUGUUUCCUCUUAUGACACAAAUCAGACAGGCAGAUUUGGAGAAGGUUUCUACACACACACACAGUCACAAUGUUAAGAGUGAGAGAAACACAUUCAUGUUUUAAUAGUAGUUGACAGCUAUAUUUUAAAGGUAGACUGUAAAGCUACCAAGCGGCUUCUCUGCACGGGGCAUCAAUGUUUACAUUUUAGCUGCAUUUUGAUGCUACGCAGUGCUAGUUUUCUAGGUAAUUGCCACCCAGUAGCUGUUACUCAGAUCGACUGAGCCACUUCUACCAAGCAACAAGCACACAAAAUGUUCCAUAAAAUACUGUCUAAAUCAGGCACCUUCUCCUCUACAGCCAUCUCCAUACUUCUACAUGUUCUCCAGACAUUCCGUUUUGUUUUGUUCUUAAUGAGAAAAAAGUCUUGAGGAGGGAAAGACAUCUAUGUCUCUUACCCUUCAAAAAAAAAUGUUCCUUAGUUGAGAAAGGAAUUAAAAACAUGGAACACACAACAACCACAUCUGGAUCACUUUUCAAGCAUCCCAGCUACAAAGCCCCAUUUCUCAGAGAGCUGCUGAUGGUCCUAGCCCUCUUGAGAAAUGUCAUGACCCUAGAAAGACAACACAGCAAGCCGCCACCUCUGGCUUAUUGUCGAAAAUAACGGCAAGAACUUAGACUCAAGCGCAUCAAUGAUGAGUGAAAACUGCUAACUCAGCAGCCAUACCCACUGGUCCUGUCCAUCCGCAGAGCAACCUGUAGACGACACCCGGGGCUGCAGGCAGAAUGAGUGGAAGCUAUUUGGGGUCACAUAGGACUGUGUGAGGGGAGGAGGUGACUUUGUCUUUGAACUUGGGGAAACUCCAAACAUUCCAUACUAACCUGUUAGUUAUUUCCUCCUAAAAAAACUAAUAGCAGGAACUUGCAAACAAUUAAUACUC